UAGGGAAUCUUCGGCAAUGGACGAAAGUCUGACCGUGCAACGCCGCGUGAGUGAAGAAGGUUUUCGGAUCGUAAAACUCUGUUGGUAGAGAAGAACGUUGGUGAGAGUUGGAAAGCUCAUCAAGUGACGGUAACUACCCAGAAAGGGACGGCUAACUACGUGCCA
rnacentral:rRNA from 1 species